rnacentral:rRNA from 1 species
AAACCAGCACCUCAAGUGGUCAGGAUGAUUAUUGGGCCUAAAGCAUCCGUAGCCGGCUCUGUAAGUUUUCGGUUAAAUCCAUUAGCUCAACUAAUGGGCCGCCGAAAAUACUGUAGAACUAGGGAGUGGGAGAGGUAGACGGUAUUCGGUAGGAAGGGGUAAAAUCCUUUGAUCUAUUGAGGACCACCUGUGGCGAAGGCGGUCUACCAGAACACGUUCGACGGUGAGGGAUGAAAGCUGGGGGAGCAAACCGGAUUAGAAACCCGAGUAGUCC